UUGGGAAUACAUGAGAGAACAAUUACAAAGAGAGAGAGGGAGCGCCGCAUCGGAGAGAGGGAUCACGGCGCCAGAGAGAGAGAUCGCGGCGCCGGAGAGAGAGAUCGACCAGCGUUUGUGACAGUACAGGAGUAGAGGCCGACGGGGGAUGUUAGCUCGGAGGUUGUCAUGGCUCUGACAGUGAUGACGGUUAAACGGCUAGGGUUCCGAUCAAGUUCCGGCAUCUUUCCGGUAACCUCCGGUGAGGUUCCAGCGAGGAUUUCAGGGAACGAACUUGAAGAUGCAUGUUUCUUUUUCGAGUAGACCAACAAACCCCGAGGUGUCAUAGGAUGGAUGACAAAGAAAUAUAAACUCUUAGGCUGGAAGGGGCUAUACCACCAAUAGAAGUACAAGUUCUACGCAGUUGGAUUCCCGCCUUUAGGGACGUCAAAACAUGCUACACACUGGUCAACUGACAGGCGUACGCAUCAUCUGGUGCCAAAUGAAGCACACCGUUGCAGCUUCCAAAGAUACCGUCUUUUCACAAAUUUGCCAGACGGCAGCAAUAUGCACGAAUCCGAGUUCCGGAAGAAGUGGGCUGGUGGCGUUACAGGCGGCAAGAUUUCUUAUCUGAAAUAGAGUCUAGAAACUACAGAGUAAGAGACUGGUCAGUAGACUUUUCCGCUGCCGGAGUCAACAUCGAGAGUUCCAAAAUAUCCGUUGAUAACCAUUGACAACGAAGCAACUCGAAUGAAAACGCAGGCCCAGUGAGUUACAAAGAGCAUUCGGGUGAAAGUACGGGUGUUGACAAUAGCCUAUUUACAAAAGCAUGGGUUGAUAGUGCCGGUAGUGAAGGGAUAAAAGACCAUAGUGUUAUUGAACGAUGGCAGUCUCAAGCUGCAACGGCUUAUUCUGAAUUCUAUCAUAGGAGUAUGCAUGCGAUGGACGAAGAGUAUUCAAAUAUGAAUCUAAUGCCGUCAAAUCGCAGGCAUGACAGGCUGGCAAACGAGAGCUCAGCUACGCAAGUUACGGUGAACCGGGAGUUGAUCGGUAACCAGCCUCGAGGUGUAGCCAAAAUUAAAGCGAGAAAAGUUGAUAAAGAAAGUUAUAAGUCGAUAAUGAAGAAAACAACCACCAAGGUUAUGGAGCAGACUACUGACUACUACUGACGCAGAGAAAGAGAUGGCUGUAUAUGAAUUUCUUGAUUAUAAGCGCAAAAACAAGGUGUGCGUUUGUAUGUUUUUCGUUUAACUUACUCGAGUUUAGAUACAUUAUAAUAUUGUCAUAUAUUCGAUUUCCUAGCAUACAUUUUUUAUGUAGAGUUACAGCUUUAGUAUUAGAAGAUGUGGUUAUCGAACUC